CGAUACUGGAUCCGUGUCGGAUCCGCAGAAGUGGACGCGCCUUUACUGUAAAGGUUGAACUACAACCUCUUGGUGUGCUCUUGCUACGCCGAGACAAGAGUCAUAUCAGUGGAGAUUUUCUUUCCUGGGACACGGUUGGGCUGAACUAUCUGAGCAAGCGAGGACAUUGCUUUUGUGCCAGUUGACUGGUAUGAUGACGUGAUGGUGUACUGGCCCAGCUGAACGUGUGAAACGGGCAGCUGCUAACGAGGAGAAGCAUGAGCCAAACUGGCCAAGAUAUGACGUAAAGGUCGUCAGAACUUGUGACAACUACAAAGACGCCAUCAGGCUAAUGAAUCAAUAUCAGACCGGCUGCAACGCCUCUGAGCUACAGUCUGAGGCAGAGCAGGAGGGAUAGCUGCCAGAGAAAUGAUU